rnacentral:lncRNA from 1 species
AACUGCCUUGGUGACACCAGCACUGGGACCUGUGUGGACCCCUCGGUUGCACACGGCCCCAGCGUGCCGUUGGUCCCUGCCUGUGGAUCCCAAGAGGACCGAUGUGCCCAGCGUGUUCUGAGGGAUGGAACGGGGACCCAGCCUCCAGUGUGUGGCCAGGGGCGCAUGCCGGGCUGCCUGCUCUUCCGUUUCCACCCUGCAGGCCUGGUGGCAAAGAUGGCUGAUGCCUACUGAACCUGUCCAGCGACCCUGGAGCAU